CACACAUUUGUGGGACAUAUUCAGAUCUAAUAUAAAAGCUGCAAUAAUACUGACAUAUGCGGAACUGAAGCUAAUUAUAACAUAUUUGAAUUUUCAUCUCUCAUGAAAGACCUCUAUAAAAUGAACAACCUUUCACACCGUUGAAAUGAGACUGUCUGAGUGAGACCGGCAAGCAGACGAGGGGAGAGGAAAGAAACGUUGUCCAAGGACAACAGGAGAAAUCGCAGCAUCAUAAUGAGCCAAUAUCUGUGGAAAAUAUGCUCGGUUGUUGGUGGAUUUUUUUAGUUGUGGGUUUUUUCUCUUUAAGCUCUCAUAUGGCUUCUCUACCAGAAACUGCACCGCUCAGCUGAUGUGGACUAGAAGAGGUAAAGAUGACAGGACGCCUUCAGCCCGUUGUAGGAAGAUACUACGAUGCAACAGGAUGGAACGCUGAGUUGUGAAACUGCAGGAACCCUGGACUUCCACAAAGAAGUUUUGCAGCCAAAUACAGAUGUCCAAUUCCAGAGCAGGUAGUGAACUGAGCACCGAUGGUCUUGCUUUUUGAAGCGGAAUACGCUGUGUUGCAGCCUCACGGCAGGACUUCAGCUCUUACACGCUGGUGUCUGCAGCGUAGCGCUAGGAGCAGGCUAUGUUACUGGAGGUGAGCAUGAAGCUGAGGUCGUACCUCGUGCUGAUCUGUGAGACUUCCCCAAAAGUCACCAGAUUGAAAUUGCUUUUCGGAAAAACGAGGAUAACACUGUUGUAAUCAAGGCUGUCUCAGUAAAAAUACUCCAAAGUG